rnacentral:rRNA from 1 species
CUUACACAUGCAAGUCGAACGGUGAAGCUGCUAUUUAUAGUGGGUGGAUCAGUGGCGGACUGGUGAGUAACACGUAUGUGACCUGCCCCAAAGAGGAGAAUAACUUGACGAAAGUGAAGCUAAUACUCCAUGUGGUCAAUCAUUCGGUUGAUUGAUUAAAGCUAAGGCGCUUUGGGAGGGGCUUGCGGCCCAUCAGCUAGUUGGUAGGGUAAAGGCCUACCAAUGCGAAGACGGGUAGCUGGUCUGAGAGGACGAUCAGCCACAAUGGCACUGAAACACGGGCCAUACUCCUACGGGAGGCAGCAGUGAGGAAUAUUGCACAAUCGACGCAAGUCGGAUGCAGCAACGCCGCGUGGACGAUGAAGGCCUUCGGGUUGUAAAGUCCUUUUACGAGGGACGAGGAAGGACGGUACCUCUUGAAUAAGUCUCGGCUAACUACGUGCCAGCAGCCGCGGUAACACGUAGGAGGCGAGCGUUAUCCGGAUUUAUUGGGCGUAAAGCGCAUGCAGGUGGCUAGGUAAGUCGGGUGUGAAAGCCCCGGACUUAAUCCGGGGAGGUCAUUCGAUACUGCUUGGCUUGAGAGCGGGAGAGGGAAGUGGAAUUCUCGGUGUAGUGGUGAUAUGCGUAGAUAUCGAGAGGAACACCAGUGGCGAAGGCGGCUUCCCUGGCCCGUAUCUGACACUAAGAUGCGAAAAGCGUGGGUAGCAAACGGACUUAGAUACUCCGGUAGUCCACGCUGUAAACGAUGGGUACUAGGUGUAGGGGGUGUAACACUCUCUGUGCCAUAGUUAACGCACUAAGUACCCCGGCUGUGGACUCCUGUCGCAAUGCUAAAACUCAAAGGAAUUGACGGGGGCCCGCACAAGCAGCGGAGCGUGUGGUUCAAUUCGAAGAUACACGAAGAACCUUACCUGGGCUUGACAUGUUGGUAGUAGUGAAGCGAAAGCGGAACGAUCAUUCGGGAAGCCAUCACAGGUGCUGCAUGGCUGUCGUCAGCUCGUGCCGUGAGGUGUUGGGUUAAGUCCUGUGACGAGCGCAACCCUCGCUGCCAGUUACAAGUGUC